rnacentral:rRNA from 1 species
CCUACGGGAGGCAGCAGUGAGGAAUAUUGGUCAAUGGGCGAGAGCCUGAACCAGCCAAGUCGCGUGAAGGAUGACGGCCCUACGGGUUGUAAACUUCUUUUGUCAGGGCGCAAUUUGGUCCACGCGUGGGCUUAGCGAGAGUACCUGAAGAAAAAGCAUCGGCUAAAUCCGUGCCAGCAGCCGCGGUAAUACGGAGGAUGCGAGCGUUAUCCGGAUUUAUGGGGUUUAAAGGGUGCGUAGGCGGAAUAUCAAGUCAGCGGUAAAAAUUCGGGGCUCAACCCCGUCGUGCCGUUGAAACUGAUGUUCUUGAGUGGGCGAGAAGUAUGCGGAAUGUGUGGUGUAGCGGUGAAAUGCAUAGAUAUCACGCAGAACUCCGAUUGCGAAGGCAGCAUACCGGCGCCCAACUGACGCUGAAGCACGAAAGCGUGGGUAUCGAACAGGAUUAGAUACCCCUGUAGUC